UCGGGAAUUUUGGGCAAUGGGCGAAAGCCUGACCCAGCAACGCCGCGUGAAGGAUGAAGUAUUUCGGUAUGUAAACUUCGAAAGAAUAGGAAGAAUAAAUGACGGUACUAUUUAUAAGGUCCGGCUAACUACGUGCCAGCAGCCGCGGUAAUACGUAGGGACCAAGCGUUGUUCGGAUUUACUGGGCGUAAAGGGCGCGUAGGCGGCAAUUCAAGUCAUCUGUGAAAUCUCCGGGCUUAACUCGGAACGGUCAGAUGAUACUGCUUUGCUAGAGUGCAGAAGGGGCAAUCGGAAUUCUUGGUGUAGCGGUGAAAUGCGUAGAUAUCAAGAGGAACACCUGAGGUGAAGACGGGUUGCUGGGCUGACACUGACGCUGAGGCGCGAAAGCCAGGGGAGCAAACGGGAUUAGAUACCCCCGUAGUCCCUGAGCGGGCUGGCAAGGC
rnacentral:rRNA from 1 species